GGGAAGUUUUGGACAAUGGGCGCAAGCCUGAUCCAGCCAUGCCGCGUGAGUGAAGAAGGCCUUCGGGUUGUAAAGCUCUUUCGGCCGGAAGAAAUCGUGGUCUCUAACAUAGGCCAUGGAUGACGGUACCGGACUAAGAAGCACCGGCUAACUACGUGCC
rnacentral:rRNA from 1 species